rnacentral:rRNA from 1 species
CGCAUCUGUGCAUGCAGCAUAUCAAUAAGCGGAGGAAAAGAAACUAACAAGGAUUCCCUUAGUAACGGCGAGUGAAGCGGGAAGAGCUCAAAUUUGAAAUCUUGCAAGGUUUACCUUUCACGAAUUGUAGUUUAAAGAAGUGUUUUCUGCUGAAGAUUCGGUAAUAUAAGUUCUUUGGAAUAGGACAUCAUAGAGGGUGAGAAUCCCGUAUGAUUGACCAGUAUUUGUCAGCUUUGUGAUACACUUUCAAAGAGUCGGGUUGUUUGGGAAUGCAGCCCAAAACGGGAGGUAAAUUUCUUCUAAGGCUAAAUAUUGGCGAGAGACCGAUAGCGAACAAGUACCGUGAGGGAAAGAUGAAAAGAACUUUGAAAAGAGAGUUAAAUAGUACGUGAAAUUGUCAAAAGGGAAGCGUUUAACACCAGUGUUGUUUUCUGAAAAUCAACCUCUGUUAGCUUUAUGCAUGUUUGUUUAGACCUAAUCAGCUAUCUUGCAUGUUCUAUUGUUUGCAGUGGUGCACUUUUCAGUUUACAGGUCAACAUCAGUUUUUUUUACCGUAAAAAAGUUAAAGAAAGGUAGCUCAUGGCUCCGGUCGUGAGUGUUAUAGUCUUUUUCCUAUGCGGUAGGAGAGACUGAGGUCUGCAGUGUAGGCUAUUUGGCUAGAUACUCAGGUGCUAUGUGAUACCAUUUCAUAAACAACUUGUUGAUUAUGUUUUGUCUAUUGCAUACUCGCUUGUACUAUCAUACCUACGCUUAGGAUGUUGAAGUCAUCGUAUCGCGC